GGGAGGUAGUGACAAUAAAUAACAAUACGGGGUUCUUUCGGAUUUCGUAAUUGGAAUGAGUACAAUUUAAAUCUCUUAACGAGGAACAAUUGGAGGGCAAGUCUGGUGCCAGCAGCCGCGGUAAUUCCAGCUCCAAUAGCGUAUAUUAAAGUUGUUGCAGUUAAAAAGCUCGUAGUUGAAUUUCGGGAUCAAUCUAUCGGUCGUGCAAUAGUACGUACUGAUUUUAUUGAUUCCUCCCUUCUGAUGAACUAUGAUGUCAUUAAUUUGGUGUCAUAGGGAAUCAGGACU
rnacentral:rRNA from 1 species